rnacentral:lncRNA from 1 species
AAAAUUAUAUUUGAACGUAAAAAGAAUCCAUCCUUCAAAAGUUCAAUCAACUCUAGAAUAGAAAUUUAGCUACUCAUAGCUAUGCUAACAACCACGCUAAUAAUAAAAAGUAUUAAUCUACAAAUUAAGGAAUAAUCGUAAAAAGAACUCUUGUAGUUCGGUGCUUGCAAUUGUUCUAGCCGUCUUUCGCCUCCCAAAAUAAUGUUCCCUCUCAAAAAUUAAGUUUAAUAGGUACGCAGUUACAUGGUAGGGUAAAAUUUAGAACCGAAAUAACCAAGUCCCAAGCUGACUGGGAGUCAACGCCUCGGAACAGGGCCCUUGGCUUGUCACGCCCUUUCCAUCUCACCUGGAGCUCGCCUAGCGCCCAUCCAUCCUCGCCCUGGAGCUCGCAUAGCGCGCUCUGAGGCGUGGUGCUUUCGCGGCCUUGCGUCGGGGUUUUUCUCUUGCUCUACUUUAUUGUCUUUGAUACCUCUUUGCCAACUUUCAUUCCACUUCAUUCCCAAAUUGAAGAGAGUUGUGAUGAAGCUAUCAAGUACUAGAGAUAAGUAAAAAUGUCUAAAUGUUAGUUGAAGUAAGUAGAUGAAGUUAAGACUUAAGAUAGUUGUAAGAAAAAUAACUUCUGUCAUAAGUUAGGAAAGUCAUUUUCCUACUUUUGAUGGAAAAUAUUUUCCUAGAAAAUGACUUUUAUCGUUCAAAACAUCGGAAAAUGACUUAUUACGGAUAACACUUUCCUCCCUAUCAAACACACCCUAAAUAUCAAGCUUAAUUUAGUAAAUGCAUAAAACAAAAUAAUAGAGGGAAUAGUUUUGAGCAUAAAAAGAAAAAGCAUAAAAUUAAUAAUUAUGUAAGGCUACACGUGCAAACAUGGUAAAAGUUUGAUAUAUAAAUUUAAAAUUCACCAUUUGUUCAUAAUAUGUAAGAAAUGCAUUUUAAUAAAUAAUCUCAACGAACAAUUUACCAUCAUCCUGUAUACCCUUUUCCUUAUUGACCCACAAAUCUUAACUAAAGAUCAUCAUUGAAUCAUCCUUCAUCCCAAAAAAUUACUUUGGCUUAUAAGCCACAUUAAUAAAUGUAUUUAUUAUCUCACUGUGAUAGUAAUAAGAAUCUCUACUUGGCCUUGAUUAGGUGUUUGCACUAAUUUAAUCCCGCAUCUCCGCAUCUCCACCACCAAUUCGACAAAUUUGGAGUUGAGACGUAAUAGCUUGAUCAUUAAUUUCGGUAGGUGUCUGAAUGCCUCCUGAAAACAAGUUUUAUUAUGAUCAGUAUUUUUCCUUCAUUUCAAUUCUCAAAAUAUUGAAAUCGCUACAAGAAUGACACCAACAAUUCAAUAACAAAAGAAAACCUUGUCUUCUUUUCAUUUCACUUUUUAGGGUUUAAGUAGAGAAUUUUACCAAAGCUAUCUAAGCGUCUUGUUCAUAUUUUUCUUCGAAAGAAAUUGCAUCUUAUUGUGUAUAGAUUCUUAAGCCUAAAAUAACAAAAACAAAUUAAUGAUAUAUUUUUUAAUAUACUUGACUAUUAGUCAUUUUGGUUCUUCACAAGAACAAAAUCAAUCUAAGAUGAGAAAAUUAAGAAAUAGAUCUAUUCAAGUUUUAGGAAUACUAGAUUAAUUAUUUAAAGUCUCACCAUCUUGAACCCCUUUAGCGGAAUCUUCUAAACUUUCAUUUGCCCUGAAAAGAAAAAGAAACGAAACAAAAAAAUAAAAUUGUUAGUUUUUUCAUGUUUGUUAGAAAAUAAAAAGAAUUUUGAUAGAGAAGCGAUAUAUAGGGGAAAAAGAAGAAAAAAGUCUAAGAUAUAGCAAAACCUGUCAGCUUCAGCC